rnacentral:lncRNA from 1 species
AUGCCAGUCGUAGUACGCUGUGAGUCAACAAGAGGCACAAAGUGCCACUUCUACAAAGACCACGACCCCAACCCAAUAAGAGAAGUGAAUUCCGGUGUUUGCCAAUUCAUAUUGUUCUGGAAUGAGUUCAAAAAGUGGAACAAGACUGAAGUAGAUCUCAGCUGUGCUAUUCUACAGAAGAGAGAUGGGAAAACGAUAUCUUCAGAACGAAGUGACACUCGAAGACUUCAUGUGAGUGAUCCCAUUGGAAUACCCAGGAUUUUUGUGGAAAAUACAGGAACUUACUUAAGUCUUCGGUGUGAGGCCAAGCAUGCUGGUACCUCAUGCUACUAUUACUUGAACAACACUGAGUCCCCCUUUAAAAGUCAGCCCUACAAAGACAAUGUCUGUGUUGGGAAAGUAUCGGAAAAGGAUCUGCUGAGGAAGAGGAGCAGUGCUGGAGAGAUCUUCAUCACCUGUGCUGUGGAGCUGGUGGUAGAGGGUGGAGAUACUGUGACAUCACAGCAUAGUGAACCGUUCAAGAUUGCCAUAGAUGACUCUCCUGGGCCCACCACUUCCUUAUCAACAUUCAGUACCAAUAAAACCAGUGUAACUAAUGGAGAAGGUGAAUAACCUUAAAAUGUUUUUAAACUUACUGUUGAUAGACCCACCCACCUAAGAGCAUUUCAAGAUAACAUUGACUGAUUCUGUUGCUAAUGAUCUGUACUGUUUAAUCUAAUUCAACAAACAAUUUCAACUUGACCUGAAAGUCAUCGACCCCUUUAGAGUCCUCCUCGGAGUUCCCCCUCUACAUCAGUCUGAGUUUUGGGGCCUUUAGCCUUAUUCUGCUGGUUGUAUCUGUCCUGUGUUUUCUCCGGUACAAGCGAGGUAUAUGCAUUCAAACACUGAUACUUCAAGGCUUAAUUUGUUCCAAUGUCCAUUUUGAGUUAUUUGUGUAUUAUACAUGUGAAAUCGGGGCUGGUUUAAUCUAUUAUCUAUUAUUUAUUUCUGAAGGUGAUCAACAAGACUGGUCUGCCAAUAGGUAAGUGAGUGAUCUAUUUGUAUUAUAAUUACAUUAUAUUUGUCUUCAUACACAUCAUUAUACAGUGUCAUAUCUAAAUGUACUGGGUAAAUUGUCUCAACAGAUCCCAAUGGAACCAGAACAAAGAAGUUAUCUGUAAGUAUGAAAGGAAACCUACCACAACAUAUUCAUUUAUCAGAAAAGUGGUUAUAUUCAGUGCUCUACAUUUCACCUUUCUCUUAUUUGAAACAGAUGCAAAUGCUUAAUUAUUUCAACAAGGCGGUCUGAAUGUGGGGGAUGUGACCAUGCUGCAUUGUACUAGUUCAAGUGUAAGUGGUAACAGUUCACCUGUUGAUGAACUCCCUCCACAUCCUUUCUCUGCUUCCUGAUUUACAUAUCUGCCACUCUCUGCUCUUCAUGUAGUCUGACACCCUCUGUUCCUCUCAGAUGAAUGGUGUAAUAUCUUACUGGGCAAGAAAUAGAUGUGCAUAGGUUUUAAGACAUGAUCUAUUUGAAGUUUCACAUUGUUUGUAUAUAAGGGUAAAUACCCGUGUUCUUUUAUUGCCUUGUCUUUUUUUAACGCUUUUGUUAUUUUAUUACUCUUUUUUUAUCAACUUUGUAUAUUGAUAGUUUUGCUACUCUACAUUUAUUCUGCACUUUUGAGGAAGAGCUGAAAGUAAGCAUUUCACUGUGCCAUUCCACCUUCUGUGCAUGUGACAAAUAAACAUUGAUUUAAUGUGUAGAUUGUGUAGAUUAGUUUUAACAUACUGGCAUACAAUUUUCCUAUUCUGUACAGCUUUUAAUAUGUAACUCUGUUUUGAAUAAAUUAAAUACAUGUAUUGUAUUACAGCAUUCCCAUUUUAUGCUGCUAUUUGUGGUUCUGUUUUCCUGGAUGGUUGGUACCAUUUUUUCCCAGUAGAUGGGGCGGAAAGAUUGUGUGAGUUAGAGAAACAACAGAGGUUCGGAAUGGAGAAGGGGGAUCGUAGAGAUGGGGGUAAAACUCUAACCACUAGUUUGUGGUGACACAGUGUGAUGUUAAACACAGUAACUAAACUGG